ensembl:snRNA U6 U6 spliceosomal RNA
GUGCUCGCUUCAGCAGUACAUAUACUAAAAUGGAAACAAUAUAGAGAUUAAUAUGGCCCAUGUGUGAGGAUGAUAUGCAAAUUCAAGAAGCCAUCCAUAUUAAA